AACACGACUCUCGGCAACGGAUAUCUCGGCUCUCGCAUCGAUGAAGAACGUAGCAAAAUGCGAUACCUGGUGUGAAUUGCAGAAUCCCGCGAACCAUCGAGUUUUUGAACGCAAGUUGCGCCCGAAGCCUUCUGGCCGAGGGCACGUCUGCCUGGGCGUCACGC
rnacentral:rRNA from 2 species